ACUCAAGAUUUUCACUUGGUCCACUCUGACUGAACGCAUAUUUGAAUAUUUCUGGUCUUCAAUGCCCUGACUCUGAAAAACCUUAAUCUUCAAGCUAUCGUAUGGCCACUGAUUUCGAUAUUGACGAUAUGGAUUAUUGAAGAAUUCACGAUUCUGGUGUCCAAGGGUCUUGAUAAUCUUUUUUUCUUAGAGAUAUGCACCCAGUUUGACCAUGUGUUACAUUAUAGACAUUAUGUAUUAGCAUUGAGUAGCAUUUGUUAUGCGUGCAAACUUUAUAGCAUAAAUUCCAAACGAAAACAUCCAAACUCACUGGGUACUUUAUCUUGAAAACAAAUAUGAUAGUGAAAAUCUGUCAUCCACUGAACAAACAUCUACCGCAUCCGUUCGUCCUCACACACCGACACUCGUCAAUGGCUGUGAGGAGUAUUGAAUUGACCGGCGUGGUGAGAAGUCAGUUCCCUGUCCGCCGGAGUGAAGCCAGUUUAAAAGUGUGUUUUAAAAACCGCCUAGAAAGUCAACUAAGGCUGCAUUUAGUUUUGACGACCAUCCCAGUAGUGGAAUCCCACGGAAUCAAAUACCACUCUAAAAGGUAAAUUUGUCCAGAGCGGUACUGCGUAGGAUUGACGCAGAAAAUUUGGCGGAAGAAGGAAAGUGGCGGAUAGUCCAACAGAAGGGGAGUCCUCCGCCGAAUGCAAUGGCCAAUCCGUUAAUGAGAUGAUUAAUCUUAGGGAAACCAGGCGUGAACCCUAAAAGUAUCGUCGGGAUUCAUUUGGCGACACCAACGAGACGCCCACGUGCAAAUCCAAUACGGAGAGCAAGGCACGUCCAAGCCAGUCAGCACAUCAAACGAAACACGGACGGAAUCAUUGACUCCGAGCACGCACGUCGGUCCUCGAGCUGUUGGACGGUCUUAAUCAGCUUAACUGCAACUAGCACCUACAGAGGGAUACCAGCACGGAAGGCUCGCCGACGACGGCACUAGACAGUAUCGUCUCCAAUUGCGCGGUGACUCACGACCACCGAAUACUGCGGUAAUCACCUUCGUAAGUCAUUUUCAUCGCAAAAACCUGCAGAUGGAUUAACGAAGUGCUCUCCUUACAGAUCCAUCCAUCUCAUUAAAAGCUAGAUUGGCCAUCGGCCGUCUGCGAGAGUUGUGCAGGACAGAAAAGCCUUCCACUGGAAGGCUUUUCUUUCUCUUAUUACAGUUUCGAAGCUUUCGGAGUGCAGUCAGAUCGGACGUCUGUGUGCAAUCGGACGCAGGGAGCGGAUCACCCCGUUACGGCAGCGAACCGUUGAUGCGAAAGGGUAAGGGACGCUCAGGAAUCUCCAGACCACUCACCAUCAGUAGGCGCCAAUCUCCCCAGUGAACCACGUAUCGUAUAAGAAUGUGCAUACAAAAUCACAUAUUCGCACGUCAGAAAUCAGAAUCGCACAAGAUGCCAAAUAAAGCGCUAUCAAUGUCAACACAAGUUGUAAAUAAAUACUCAAUACGAUUCAUACACGACAAACUGUGUUGGCAACACAACAUGUCGUAAAUAGUGCAACAUAGAAUUGUGUUAAAUUGUACAAACUUUGGACGUCAUAUUUAAAUCAUCCCAUAUUUUAUUUUACGUUACGGCCAGCGCUUUAUUUUGAGAGCAUAAAAGCGAUCCACAAAUCAGUUAGGCUGUAUUAUAAGUGAUUUCUUAUGGAUUACUUUCCCGCAAAACAAAGCACUAACAGGUCAUUUAAUCUUUUCACCGAACAAAUUGGUGCGCUCUUAAGUUCAUUUGGUGCUUAAACUUGGAGAUUUUAUUAAAUUUAUUUCCAUCGGCAGACGAAAAUAUCAGACUCGCCCUUAUUUCAUUUCAUUCCACUCGUUGUUUUGUACCCGUCAACGCCGCAAUAAAAUUCCGAUCUGCCAUAGUGAAAAAUUGUGCCGGCAGCGGUGGAUGGCCCCAUUGUUUACGUUGCAAGU
rnacentral:lncRNA from 1 species